rnacentral:rRNA from 1 species
CCUACGGGUGGCAGCAGUGAGGAAUAUUGGUCAAUGGGCGCGAGCCUGAACCAGCCAAGUAGCGUGAAGGAUGACUGCCCUACGGGUUGUAAACUUCUUUUAUAAAGGAAUAAAGUGAGGCACGUGUGCCUUUUUGUAUGUACUUUAUGAAGAAGGAUCGGCUAACUCCGUGCCAGCAGCCGCGGUAAUACGGAGGAUCCGAGCGUUAUCCGGAUUUAUUGGGUGUAAAGGGAGCGUAGAUGGGUUGUUAAGUCAGUUGUGAAAGUUUGUGGCUCAACCGUAAAAUUGCAAUUGAUACUGGCAGUCUUGAGUACGGGUGAGGUAGGCGGAAUUCGUGGUGUAGCGGUGAAAUGCUUAGAUAUCAAGAAGAACUCUGAUUGCGAAGGCAGCUUACUAAACUGCCACUGACACUGAUGCUCGAAAGUGUGGGGAGCAAACAGGAUUAGAUACCCCAGUAGUC